GGUCACGCUAACCACUGGGAAGAGCUGCCCAUGCCUUGCCUGCUGCCAUGAUCCUGCCCAAACUGUGGACACUGUAGGGUUGACUCUGGCUCCUCAACGUGAGGUCAUUUCUCCCAGGUGUCUUCUCCACAGGAAAAUCUCUCAGGCUUUCUGGAUCUGGUAGCUGGAGAUGAAUAAUAUCCUAUAUGACAGCCAAAGACUGACCUCUGUGCCCAGCAAAACUACCAGCAGAGCCUAGGGUAACUGUCCAGGUAACUGUAAGUCUGUAAGUUCUGAUACCCUGGUAAAGCACUGAGCUAUUAUUAUCAAGGUUUUAAAUUUCCUUUGGAUGUCUUCCAAAUAGAGACUUGAAAAUGCUUCUCAUAAUGCUAAAAAUAUCUCUCCCCAAUCUAUAUCCAGCCCUCUGGACAUGAGGGGACACACACACACACACACACACACACACACGCACAAAGAAUGUCCUUAUGUCCUUGCCUUUUAACCCAAAGCCAUAGUUUUUGCGGUGAGUCUACUCCAGCUGUUCACAGUCACCCAUUAGCUGCAUUUUCUACAAUGAGGAUUUUAGCACAGCUGGCAAACAGUGGUGAUGCUAAUAUAACUGUUAACUUAGAGUUAACUAAGUAAUUCCUGUAAGCUUCAGGAAGUCGAGGAGGUCAGAAGACUUGACUCCACCUCUCAUGGAUCAAAAGAAGCCCAGAUAAGCGUUCCUGUCAAUAGACAGCCUGUUCCCCACAUUGCCUGUUCCAGAGGGCGCGGUCUCUCUCUCUCGCUCCCCCACCCUCCCACUCCAGUCUUGAGACUCCUCCUCUCCCACAACUACCAAGAUUAUAAACCAGUAAACUCCAAAGGUAAACGUUUCCUUUAUGUUCUUUAACUUCUGUCUCUGGCCUGUAUUUUGUUCAAACCCCUGCUUUAGGGAGAUAGCCUUGUCUGACAGAAAAUACAACUCGCUUAAUUGAUUAACACCUACUUCCUAUUUUUUUUUUCAUAGAAAUGUAUAUGUUCCCCCUCCUUUUUGUUUUAAUUAGUUCUUUGAGAACGUUGUAAGAGUCUCUGUGGAUGAAAACACCAAGCACUCUGUCUGGGACUGGCUGCUCCCAGAGUUUGACUAUGAGCCACCUGUUGCAAGUGGUGCUCCUAACCACUGAGACAUCUUGCCAGCACCAAAACUAUAGCUCUUUAACGGCUCAUUCAAUACAAAGACAAUGACAAAAUCCUGUUCCGUGUGGCAGUUUGCUGCCUGCCUACUGCAGCCAGGGACCCGCCAACAUUUUUAAAAAAUCAUAAAACUGUCUAUCUUUCUACAACAAUCGUUCCCUUUGAUUAAAAAUUUUUCUUCUAAAAAAAAAAAAUUCGUCUGCUUGAAGAGAAAAAGGAAAGAGGCAGAAGGUAAGACCCUGUGGCUGAAAGGACUACUUGCCCUGGUUGCCGGACAUGGUACUCAGGUCAGAACUGAGCUGGAGGCUUCUUCCCUGCCCACUAGCUCAUUUAUUAAGGAACUGGGAGUAUUUUUUUACAACGCAUUUUGAUAUACUUUAACUGACGUGUGUAAUGGUUGUAUUUUUAUUUUUGAGAAGUGUUUAACAUUUGGGGGGUUUGUUUUUUGUUGGUUUUAAACAGACUCUCACAGAGCUCAGCCUAGACUCAAACACACUAUGUAGCAGCGGCUGGCUUUGAACUCCUGGUCCUUCCACCUCCACUUCCCGUGUGCUGGGAUUAAAGGCAUGCACCACACCUGGCAUAAAAAUCGUGUUUUUUCUGGUUAUAUCAUCCAUUGUUGUUCUCACCCAAGAGGAGCACAGGAUAAAUGCCUUGUGACGUUUUCACUGAGCCCCAGAGUUCCGGCUGGGAGCACACACUCCUGUGAUCACAAGUCUAAGAGACCCUGAGCUGAGUGAGGAGGGCGUUGUAAAGGUUAAGCCAUCCCUUAACAUGGCUGUGAUGGCUGCCAGCAAGCGUGACAGGACGUGUACUUUAAUAAGAUUACGGCACAGCUGUGUCACCAUGCGGAGCAAUGGCGCGUGAGUUCUGGUUCCCGUAGAGCGUUGUGCACGUCUGACAGUCAGGCUGACCUCAGUUUUCGCCCGAGGUCGGAGAGGAGUGAGCAAAUGUGGUUUUGUUUUUUGUUUUUUGUUUGUUUGUUUGUUUGUUUGUUUGUUUGUUUGUUUUCACUUUACAUCUAUGACCCUUGAGGUUCUGAGGCUUGAUGUGCCGUGGAGUUUUCCUGAUUGAGAGUUUCCUGAAAAAAAAAAGACUACAUUUCCCAGCUUCCCUUGCAGCCAGGCAAAGUGACUCUGGAAUGAAGGGAUAACGAGAGUGCGCGCACACACGCCUUGUAGUCAUUUCCACUCCUCCACGGGCUCACAGACAUCUUUUUCCUGCAGGCGUUCUCUUAUCCACCCACGUGGAUGGGACUAGGUGCCGUUGCCACCAACAAACGGGGUCCGGUUUAUGCAGGGUCAGGUGCCUCUCUGUCUUCCGUUUUUGUUUUUGUUUUUGUUUUUAAGCCGGCUCAGAAAUCUUACACUGAUAAUCAUAUCACACUUACGUGUUGUGCAUUAAAUGCUUGCCCCUGCUUGUAUGUUUCCAGGAUCCUUAUGCCGGGAGGAGCAGCCUGACUCUCGCGAAGUUCCCCCAGUCAGGCUCCACCCAGAGGUGCAGAGAUCUGCAAAGGUACGUUCCUCUGGUCUGGAUCUCCAGCUACAGAGCACGCAGCUUUGGAUCUGUAAAGACAGAAACCUCUCGUUUGGAGCCCUGGCUCCCCCAACAGGAGGGUGGAGCCCACGCCACUUGGGGAACUUUGCUGGGACUGGCUGCUCUCAGGACCCGCAGCCUGCUGCCUGGCACCACUUCAGGGACCUGCGGCAUGGUCUCAUGGCCCACUGCCUGCUGCAGCCACUUGGGGAUUGGCAGCAUUUUAUUUAAACCCCCACUGGAGCUUUCAUCGUUGCAGCAUGAAUCAUCAUUAAAAAGAUCUUUUCAACAGAGAUUGCCUGAGUUAUUGAGGGUGAUGAGUACAAACACCCUGGGAACGACCUACAUGGACUUCCACGGAGGAAGGAAAACUUACUGAUUAUCAUCUAAGUUUCCCAGGUGUUAGGCAAGAAGUCUGAUGCUAAGAUGAGCUUUUCCCCUCCCAUCAUCCUGUGCCAACUCCUGAGCGAGAGCUGUGGUUUAUGGCAGAGGAAAUCCAUUAUGUGUUUGUUGGAGAUAGGGUCUCUUAUAGCCCAGACUAGCCUUAAACUCCCUACACAGCCAGAUGACCUUGAAUUUGUGAGCCUCCCUGGAGUUGUGAUUGCAGGCAUGCACUACAUUGCUUGAUUUAUAUGGCUCUGGACCUAAUGUUCUCGUGCUUUUUGCAAAAGGCUGACACUGUGGGCAUGAAACCCAGGGCCUUGGACAUGAUAGGCAGCUGCUUUACCACUGGGCCACACCCCAGCCCCUCACUGGGGGAUUCUAGACAUGACUGUACCAUACUACUGAGUCAUGCCGCAGGAGAAGGAAGAAAUGUAGAGGGAUACGGGAAGGGAAAAAGGGGAAGAAGAAAAGAAAAAAAAUGGGAACUGGAGAAACAGCUCAGCUGGUAAGAGGGUUGCCGUGCAAGCAUGAAGACUGAGCGCCAAUCCUCUUUCCUAUCUGAAGCAGGUCUUCCCAUUUUUCCCAGGUUAUCCUUGAACUCAAGAUCCCACACACUCAGUCUCACAUACCUGGAGUUACAGGUGUCACUGCCAGGACCUAGGGUUACAGGUGUCACUGCCGGGACCUGGGGUUACAGGUGUCACUGCCGGGACCUGGGGUUACAGGUGUGCACUGUCAGGACCUGGGGUUACAGAUGUCACUGCCAGGACCUGGGGUUACAGGUGUCACUGUCAGGACCUAGGUAGGGUUACAGGUGUCACUGCCAGGACCUGGAGUUACAGAUGGUUGUGAGCCACCGACUGUAGGUGUUGGGACUGAAACCCAGAGCCUCUUCAAGAGAACAACAAUAGAAAAAAUUUAAUUUUUGUUUUGUUUUUAUGGUCCUAGGUAUUGAACCAAGAGCCUAAACCAUAAUAACCUCAACUUCAGAACUCAGGAGGUAGAGGCAGGCAGGCAGAUCUCCGAGUUUGAGGCCAGUCUGGUCUACAGAGUUAGUUCCAGUACAAAGAAACCCUGUCUUGAAAAACCAAACCAAACCAAACCAAAACUCCAAACAACAACAACAAAACAAACAACCCACCCACCCAAACAAAGAAAAACUAACUUAGCCCAAAGUGGUAGUGAAUGUGUCUGUCUGUAAUCCUAGUACGUGGGAGAUGGGGAGAGGAGGGUCAUGGAUUGAAGGGCAUCCUCACCGACAUAGUAAGUUUUGAGGCCAGUACUACACGAGACCUCCUCUCUUCCUCGUUUAAAAAAAAAAGUGAGAGAGGUACAAAAAGAUCCUGCUUACCUCCUUAUAUUUAUUUAAGGAUUGGUAACACCUCAUCCUCAGCUGUGGUGGGGUGAAGAGGCUCCAACACAUUCCUAGAUUCAGGUGAUCAGUGCUCUAACCGUGGUGGACACCCUCACUCACAUGCCCAUAGCCACAAACAGGAAUCCACACAAACAGGCACAUACACAAAAUCAAAAAAUAUUUUUUAAUUACCAGCUGUCAUGGUGCAGAGGCCUUUAAUCCCAACACUUGGAAGGCAGGGGCAGGCAGAUCUCUGAGUUUGAGGUAGGUUAUCUACAUAUGGGGUUUCAGGACAGCCAGGGCUAUAGAGAGAAUCCUUUUAAAAAAAAAAAAAAGAGGUUUAAUUGAUUGAUCAGUUAUUCUGAAACCAGCCUGCCUCCAUAGCCAGUCCCAAUCUGUUCAGGGCUACAUAAUGAGACCCUUUCUCAAAAAAAAAUAAAAUAAAAAAAUUAAAAAAUUAAAAAACCAUGAUUGUUAAUUAAAUUUCUUUGAAUGUCGUGAGCUGUGUGUGGUGGCUCCUCAUUCGUGCCUGACUUGCAGCCAGCAUCACAAAUUAUCAGUUGUGCAUGGAGUGAGACCGGGGUUCGACUAUGACUCUGUUUCCGAAUGGCUGCCUAGGAAAUUAGCUCUUUGUACCUUGACCACCAAUAUAUACAGACAAAAGGCUUGGGUCACUAAACAAACCCCAGAGAAAGAAAUUCCCCUGGCCCUUGGCCUAGGCAUCAUUUAUAAUACACUUUGAUCUGGUUUUAACUUCCUGCCCUUCCACUUGUCAUCAGGGUGACCCUGGAACUUGGUGACAUAGGUGGCGUGACUACUUCCUUCCUGAAAUGUCUACUUCCCUUACCUUCUGUCACUGGACACUGUCCUGGAUGUCCUUCUGCUUCUGCUCCCCACCCCUCCUUCUCCCUCUUUCUCUCUCCCUUCCACCUCUCAGAGACAGAGGCAGAAAGAUCAGGAGCUCAGGGUCAACCUCAGCCGGUCCAGUCAGUCUAGGCUGCCUGAGAUUCUGCCUCAAAAACAAACAAGAGAACAAGGAGCCCUUGGGAGGCAGAGGCAGGAGGAUCGCUAUGAGUUCAAAGCCACUAGGUUGAUGCAGUGAGAGGAGCAUGCUCCACAGGAAUGCUCUGCCUCAAACAGAGAACAGCAGGCACGAAGCUCCUAAGAGCACACUUGCAGUCAAGUCCUCGGUCCCCGCGCAGGAGGAGCAGUCUCUCACGAAGUGCAUUCUGUGAACCUGGUACCAUAUUGUCUCCAGACCCCAGGAGACUCAGUUCGGAUUCUCUCCAUUUCUAGGCUCAAGGUGUUACUCAAAAGAUGGUCAGUGUCCUGGCUAACAGAAGGGCCUUUCUGGUGCCCUUUCCUUCCCUCUGCCAGCCCCUGAAACAGGCAUAGCUCACCAGGACUUGGCACAAGUGCCAGUACACAGCUCCACCAAGCAGGUCCCCACAGACCCAGGGCUCCAGCUCCCUCUGCUUCUCUUCUCUCCCUCGCCUGAGUCCAGGCUCUGUGCAUCCUGCUGUCUCCUUAACACUCCCAAGUACACACCCUAGUAUGCCCUAGUACAUACCAGCAAGCCCAACAAAAGCAGAUUUUCUGAGACAGGCAGAUCUCUGUGAGUUCGAGGCCAGCCUGAUCUACAAGAGCUACUUUCAGGACAGGCUCCAAAGCUACAGAGAAACCCUGCCUUAAAACACCAAAGGAAAAAAAAAAAAAGCAGAUUUUCUUCAUCACACCAGGGACGGCACAAGUACUCAGCAGUUACUGGAUGAUUGAAAUGAUGUAUGGUCUACCACCAAGUCAUAUGGCUCUCCCCACUAGCUUUUCUGUGUGUGUGUGUGUGUGUGUGUGUGUGUGUGUGUGUGUGCACGCGCGCGCGCGCGCGCCAUGCGCACGCGCAACUGAUUAAAAAACCUGAUUCCCUGGAAAUGGAAUGACAGGUGGUUACGAGACCCUGAUGUGGGUGCGUGAGCACUCAGGCCCUCUGGACAGCCAUAUGUACUCUUCCUCACUGAGCCAUCUCUCCAUUCCCCACUGAGCAUGACCUCACUCACUGAGCCACUUCCAUUCUUUCUAAUCCCUCUACCUCACACUACCUCCUUCCGCCUGGACUGUGUGCACUCUUCGGUGGUCUCCCAGCACGUACUCUGGCCCUGGGAGACCAUAUCUCAGAUCUGACCAGGCCUUUUCUGAGGGUCAUCCCCAACAUGAAUAAUAUUCUUUAGUCGUUUCUCAGACCCUUGCAGUGAAUCCAAAUGCCUCACCAUUCCCAACAGCUUGUGCUUCCCUUACUCCGGCUGUGCCCGGUCACCCUCAAAACCCUUCUUUUCUUGCUACACCUGAACACACCGAACAUGCUUGGCCGACUCUGUUCCCAUGGGGACCCUGUAGAAAUGCCAAAGAGAAGAAUCUCAAGAAAUCAGGAGCUUAGAAACUUAACAUUAAGUUUACAGAGCAUGGCUCAGUGGUAGAGCCCCUGCCUAGAAUCCCCCAGUGAGGGCCUGGGGCGUGGCUCAGUGGUAGAGCCCCUGCCUAGAAUCCCCCAAUGAGGGGCUGGGGUGUGGCUCAGCAGUAGAGCCCCUGCCUAGAAUCCUCCAGUAAGGGGCUGGGGUGUGGCUCAGUGGUAGAGCCCCUGCCUAGAGUCCCCCAGUGAGGGGCUGGGGUAUGGCUCAGCAGUAAAGUGCUUACCUUCCAUGCACAGGCCCUGAGUACCACCUGUAGCAUGACAAAAAGUAUCAUUUACUUUUGAGCAGAGUAAACAUAGAUUUAUCGAAGAAAAGCAAGAAAGCUUCCUGAAGAAGAAUGAGAGGCUCCAUGGAAGGACUACCCAAAAUCAUUUAGAGUGUAAGCAAAGACGACAGGAAGACAGGCAGUCUGCCCUGAUCUCCCCAUGUGUUAUGGAGAGGUAUGGGAAUAGGAGCUGGGCAUGACAGAAGCUCCAGGAAGGCGUUCCUUGUGACCUGAAGUGACUGUGACCCUCAGCAUUCAGAGUCCCUUCUCUCCAGAAUGGAACAGCUAUGGUCACCCAUGCAAACCACAUCACAGACAGGAGCUAACCUGAGGGAGUAGUGGUGAUGACACUAUGUACCAGACAUUCAGGGGCCAAAACCCAGUCCAUUCAUACAAUUCCUGAUCAACUCUGGGAGUCAGAAACCUUGCUACCAUCUCCAUAUUGGAGAAACAGGCACAGAGUGGUUGAGGCACCGGCGAGGGCUGGGUUUCAGGCACAGGCAGCUUGGGUCUGAUUCUGACUCAGGACAAGAGGCACUACUGCCUGCCGUUUCUCAGGCAGCAACGUCCAGUCUCCGAGUCCACUGAAAGCUUCCACAUCUUAGCCUCUUGGCCUGUAGGGUUGAGCAUCGUCAGACUUCGACCCAAGGGAAUCUGCAGCCAGACACAGU